GGGCAAGUGGCGGAAUGGCAGACGCGAAGGUCUCAAAAACCUUUGAGGUUCAUCCCUCAUGUGGGUUCGACUCCCUCCUUGCCCACCA
rnacentral:tRNA from 1 species